GCCCGCCCCCCAUGAGCGAGGGAAAGAAGAAAAACAAAGAAGAGAAGAAGAAGCAGAGCCGGUCUGGAAGAAGCGCGGAAAAGAAACUGAGAGAACCUGGAGAAGGAGGAGGAGGAGGAGAGGCUGAGAAGACGGCGGGGCAGAGUCGAAGUGAGCAGCAUCGCCUACAAACUAUAGAAAAGAGCGGGAGAGCCAGUUCGCCGGCUGGUUGAGACCUGCUGCAGGCUCGGAAAGCAAAGCUGUCUGCCGGUGCUGAAGACAGAGCUGGUGGCCCAAUGAACUGUAUUAAAUAACACAGAGAGUGUGAAGAUGGCAGGUGGAUAUGCCGGUUUGAAGCCAACAACCACAAUGCUGCGGUCCAUGACAACAUGAGAUGUAAACAGUAAGAGGACUGCCCCCACCCAGCAGGGUGCAGCAGACUCAGACAGGGACUCACAGCUGGAGACUGAACCUGAAGAAAACUGCCAAAGGCGGAGACGUGACGUGACGCAGCCCGGACAGCUGAUGGAGACCGAGGCGAUCAGGGCUACACACCACUUAGUGUUUGUCCACAUUAGAUGUUGGACUUUUGCUUCACUCGGAACAAACACCUGUAGCCCUUGGCCUGUUGUCUGCUGUGCUUCCCUCUUUUCCAGGUUAUUAUACAGCAGGUUAUAUAUGCACUUUAUUUGAAGUUAUAAGCUGUUAAAUGCUGUUUUUGUUGAUUUUAUGAGUUGUUGUCAUUUUUGAGGACAGAGACAUGUUGUAGCUCUGAAAAUAAAAUGUAAUAUGUGAAGCCAGA